rnacentral:rRNA from 1 species
UACGUAGGGGGCAAGCGUUGUCCGGAAUCAUUGGGCGUAAAGAGCGUGUAGGCGGCUCGGUAAGUCCGCUGUGAAAGUCCGGGGCUCAACCCUGGAAUGCCGGUGGAAACUGUCGAGCUAGAGUCCGGAAGAGGCGAGUGGAAUUCCUGGUGUAGCGGUGAAAUGCGCAGAUAUCAGGAGGAACACCAAUGGCGAAGGCAGCUCGCUGGGACGGUACUGACGCUGAGACGCGAAAAGCGUGGGGGAGCAAACAGG